rnacentral:rRNA from 1 species
UACGUAGGGUGCGAGCGUUAAUCGGAAUUACUGGGCGUAAAGCGUGCGCAGGCGGCUUUGUAAGACGGAUGUGAAAUCCCUGGGCUUAACCUAGGAACUGCGUUCGUGACUGCAAAGCUAGAGUGCGGCAGAGGGGGGUGGAAUUCCUGGUGUAGCAGUGAAAUGCGUAGAGAUCAGGAGGAACACCGAUGGCGAAGGCAGCCCCCUGGGUUGACACUGACGCUCAUGCACGAAAGCGUGGGGAGCAAACAGG